rnacentral:lncRNA from 1 species
AGGGAUGGAGGGGGGAUUAGAUCUCCUACAAGUCAAAUCCCCUCCAAUCCUUGUGGGAAGAGGUGUAACCGAAGAAAGCUUUAUGCAGAGUUGUCCUCUCAUCUGUUUUAAAAUUCAACUUGUGCACACUGGCACUUAAACAUUUUAUCAAUGCACAAUAAAAUAUUGAACACACACAAUAGUCUAGUUGGGGAUCCAAAUGAUUGACUUUCACACAUCAGCAUACACUCAAAUCAUAGAAAACUUAUUCUUCCCGGAAAUGAAAACUAACAUCAACAAGUCACAUGCUCCACCCGCCCAUUGGACUGCUCUUCUCCUCAUGCCUCCUCUUCAAUCACUCACCAUAUUAAUAACACCUGAAUAAGAAAAACCACUUAUGAAUUAUACCGGCAUGCAAAAUAUUGUAUACUGUGAAGCAUAGCAAUGCCACUAAGUAAGAUGUGCACUCUCAUAUAUAUAAUAUGGUCUACUAUAAACCCAUAUAUUUUCUAUCAAAAGUUUCAUUUUUGUGAACUAUACUAUCUAUAAAAGAUAGGUCAAAUGGUUAAAAACUGACAUGUAAACAACAAACACAACCUAUAGCUAGUAACCAAUUACAAAGCCCUAUUUUUUUUUGCAAGGCCGACAUCAUGGCAGCCAUCACUCAUGGCCUGCCUUGGAUGCACGACAUGAAGGUUGCCAAAGGUCAGCGCUAUUGCGGGUGUUUCUAUUCACAUCAUCAAUAGAUUAUGUAUGCACCUAGGUAAUUCCAAGUUUUCAUUUAGAUGUAUCCUCUUCAAAGGAUAUGGGCUACACGGUAGCCUGGACAGGAAGCUGCAGCCAAAGACAACCUAAAUCAGCAAAUAUAGAAAUUACCCUGCAGUUCUAAAGAUCUGAAAUACAACCGCACAGACAAAAUUUUGCUGCGAAAGAACCAUACGUGUAUAUACAAUAGCGUGUUGUUGAUUCCACAGAGCAAAUUUAACAUCAGCUAAGGUGAUGCUUUCGUUGUGCAUGAACUCACACACAAUCAUGUUCUUCUUGUCUUGCUGACUGUAAGCAGUGAAUGUUACCAGGUUCCAAUGAUGUAUUCCAGAAAGUAAUGCUACCUAAAACAAGUAGACCUGCACAACAGACUACAUGUAAGCCAGCCAACUCAUCAGGACAAUGUCGGUAAGAAAAGAAAUGCAUGAGCAUAUGGUACAUUGUAAUGCAACGAUGCAAUCAUAGGAUGAUAUGUCUGUUCAGUAGACCAUUACAACAGACCACAAGAGGGGAUGUGCAGAUACAGAAUGCGAAGGAAAUUUCAAAAGGCAAACAUCACGAACUGAAAUUGCAGAAACAUAAAAGAAGGAUUGCUGCUAAUCUAAGAUAGUGAGGAAACAAUUGUCACAUUAAUACGUCAUUGGAUUAAGAAAAAACAGAAUGGUCAAACAUAUCACGAUCUUUUUCCACAACAGGACCAAGCCAUACCAUAAAUGCAGAAACAAGUAAACACAUGAGAAGGUGCACAUAAAGUUAACUACUUGGCAUAAAAUAAGACAAGUUCAUCAUCUAACAACAAGAGCCUACACUGGUAUAUAAUUAUAGAAGAUAUUAUGUAUGCAAAUAUGAUAAUAUAUAACCCUAUUUGAUUAUUCCAUUUGAUGUGAUGCUAAGAAGCACACAUAGAUCUGUCUAUUUCUUUUCUCAAAGAAAAUAACACCAUGAUUAUUUCAGUAAGAAGUGCACACGACAAUCACGCCUCAGUUGACAAAUAAUAAAGGAUUACUCAGAAAAUAAAAUAAACGACUCAAAGGGCAUUGUAUAUUUGUAUUGUGAAAAAAUCUACA